rnacentral:rRNA from 1 species
CUCAGGAUGAACGCUGGCGGCGUGCUUAACACAUGCAAGUCGAACGAAGAAGAGUUGAAUGAGAGCUUCGGCAGGAUUUCUUCUCAUCUUAGUGGCGGACGGGUGAGUAACGCGUGAGUAACCUGCCUUUCAGAGGGGGAUAACAGUUGGAAACGACUGCUAAUACCGCAUAAGCGCACAGCACCGCAUGGUGCAGUGUGAAAAACUCCGGUGGUACAAGAUGGACCCGCGUCUGAUUAGCUAGUUGGUAAGGUAACGGCUUACCAAGGCGACGAUCAGUAGCCGGCUUGAGAGAGUGAACGGCCACAUUGGGACUGAGACACGGCCCAAACUCCUACGGGAGGCAGCAGUGGGGAAUAUUGCACAAUGGGGGAAACCCUGAUGCAGCGACGUCGCGUGAAGGAAGAAGUAUUUCGGUAUGUAAACUUCUAUCAGCAGGGAAGAUAAUGACGGUACCUGACUAAGAAGCUCCGGCUAAAUACGUG